CGCGUAGGCGGGAUGGCAAGUCGGUCGUGAAAUCCUUCGGCUCAACCGAAGAACGUCGGCCGAUACUGCCGUUCUUGAGGGAUGCAGAGGAGACUGGAAUUCCCGGUGUAGCGGUGAAAUGUGUAGAGAUCGGGAGGAACACCGGUGGCGAAGGCGGGUCUCUGGGCAUCUCCUGACGCUGAGGCGCGAAAGCGUGGGGAGCAAACGGGAUUAGAUACCCCGGUAGUCUACGCCAUAAACGAUGACGACUAGGUGUGGGGUGGUUCAGUCCACUCCGUGCCGCAGCUAACGCAUUAAGUCGUCCGCCUGGGGAGUACGGCCGCAAGGUUGAA
rnacentral:rRNA from 1 species